rnacentral:rRNA from 1 species
GCAUAUCAAUAAGCGGAGGAAAAGAAACCAACAGGGAUUGCCCCAGUAACGGCGAGUGAAGCGGCAACAGCUCAGAUUUGAAAUCUGGUCCCCAGGGCCCGAGUUGUAAUCUGUAGAGGAUGUUUCUGGCAAGGCGCCGUCCGAGUUCCCUGGAACGGGACGCCGGAGAGGGUGAGAGCCCCGUACAGGCGGACGCCGAGCCUCUGUGAAACUCCUUCGACGAGUCGAGUAGUUUGGGAAUGCUGCUCAAAGCGGGAGGUAAAUUUCUUCUAAAGCUAAAUAUAGGCCAGAGACCGAUAGCGCACAAGUAGAGUGAUCGAAAGAUGAAAAGCACUUUGAAAAGAGGGUUAAAAAGCACGUGAAAUUGUUGAAAGGGAAGCGCCUGUGACCAGACUCGCGCCCGGCGUAUCAUCCGGCGUUCUCGCCGGUGCACUACGUCGGGCUCGGGCCAGCAUCGGUUCUAGUGGGGGGAUAAAGGCGGCGGGGAUGUGGCUCCCCCGGGAGUGUUAUAGCCCGCCGCUCAAUGCCCCCGCCGGGACCGAGGACCGCGCAUUGCAAGGAUGCUGGCGUAAUGGUCACCAGCGACCCGUCUUGAAACACGGACCAAGGAGUCAAGCAUUAGGGCGAGUGUUUGGGUGUAAAACCCGCACGCGAAAUGAAAGUGAACGUAGGUGGGAGCCUCGGCGCACCAUCGACCGAUCCUGAUGUCUUCGGAUGGAUUUGAGUAAGAGCCUUAACGCUUGGACCCGAAAGAUGGUGAACUAUGCUUGUGUAGGGUGAAGCCAGAGGAAACUCUGGUGGAGGCUCGCAGCGGUUCUGACGUGCAAAUCGAUCGUCAAACAUGAGCAUGGGGGCGAAAGACUAAUCGAACCAUCUAGUAGCUGGUUACCGCCGA